GACGAACGCUGGCGGUGUGCUUAACACAUGCAAGUCGAACGGAAAGGCCCUGCUUUUGUGGGGUGCUCGAGUGGCGAACGGGUGAGUAACACGUGAGUAACCUGCCCUUGACUUUGGGAUAACUUCAGGAAACUGGGGCUAAUACCGGAUAGGAGCUCCUGCUGCAUGGUGGGGGUUGGAAAGUUUCGGCGGUUGGGGAUGGACUCGCGGCUUAUCAGCUUGUUGGUGGGGUAGUGGCUUACCAAGGCUUUGACGGGUAGCCGGCCUGAGAGGGUGACCGGCCACAUUGGGACUGCGAUACGGACCAGACUCCUACGGGAGCCAGCAGUGGGGAAUAUUGCACAAUGGGCGCAAGCCUGAUGCAGCAGCCCCGCGUGCGGGAUGACGGCCUUCGGGUUGUAAACCGCUUUCGCCUGUGACGAAGCGUGAGUGACGGUAAUGGGUAAAGAAGCACCGGCUAACUACGUG
rnacentral:rRNA from 1 species